rnacentral:rRNA from 1 species
AUUGAACGCUGGCGGCAGGCCUAACACAUGCAAGUCGAGCGGAUGAGAGGAGCUUGCUUCUCGAUUCAGCGGCGGACGGGUGAGUAAUGCCUAGGAAUCUGCCUGGUAGGGGGGGACAACGUUUCGAAAGGAACGCUAAUACCGCAUACGUCCUACGGGAGAAAGCAGGGGACCUUCGGGCCUUGCGCUAUCAGAUGAGCCUAGGUCGGAUUAGCUAGUUGGUGAGGUUGUGGCUCACCAAGGCGACGAUCCGUAACUGGUCUGAGAGGAUGAUCAGUCACACUGGAACUGAGACACGGUCCAGACUCCUACGGGAGGCAGCAGUGGGGAAUAUUGGACAAUGGGCGGAAGCCUGAUCCAGCCAUGCCGCGUGUGUGAAGAAGGUCUUCAGAUUGUAAAGCACUUUAAGUUGGGAGGAAGGGUUGUAGAUUAAUACUCUGCAAUUUUGACGUUACCGACAGAAUAAGCACCGGCUAACUCUGUGCCAGCCACCGCCGUAACAC